rnacentral:lncRNA from 1 species
UGUCAUUUGACCUAAGCUGGCCUUAACCAUGCUAUGUAGUGAGGAUAAUCUUGAAUGCCUUACUGGUGUGAGCCAUCACUUCUAGUUUAUGUGGUACUGGGGAUAGAAUCCAGGACUUUGUACGUGAUGAGAGCAUUGUGGAUGAGAAUGGUUCAUGUGCUUGAAUACUUUGUCCCCAUUGUUGGAACUGUUUGGGAAGGAUUAGGAAAUGUGCCCUUAUUAGAGAAAGGGUUUCACUAGGAUCAGGCGCUGAGGUUUCAAAAGACACCAUUUAGAGUUAGCUUUCUAGACCUCUUACUUGUGCAUCAAGAGGUGAGCGCUCAGGUGUUGAGGCCAGCAUGCCUUUGUUCCACCAUCAUGGACUUCAAACCUAGGAAACCAUAAGCACAGUGAAACACUUUUGUUUUGUCGGUUGUCUUGGUCAUGGUGCUUUAUCCCAGAAAGAGAGGCAACUACAACACCAACAAGCAAGUGUUCUACCAAGUGAGCUAAACUGCUAGCCCUGAAAGCCUACUGUCUUUGUAAAACCUGCUCCACCCACUCCAGCCUAGAUGACUCUUCUGCCUAGGGAUUCUUGCAAAGUGAUUUGCCGGCUUUUUGAGAUGAGAUCUUCGGUAGCCCAAACUAUCCUCACUAUGGAGAUCAAGAGUCCAAAGGCGAAAAUGCUGAAAUGAAGAUUAGAAUGCAGGAAAGUUAUAUGGAAGUGGCUUUUGGAUCAGUAUCUAUGGAUUAGUGCAAGCAGCAGGAUCAGACUGCAGUCCAACAGUGCGCUCCAAGGGAACUUUAGAGGUAAGAUAUCUAUUUAUGGUCCUAAGAGACUACUGAGGCCAAUGAGUUUGAGAAGAAUGUUAAUAUCAAGACAACAGAAGAUACUAAUGAAGCAAGAGAAUCCUGUUGGAGACAACAAAGAACACUUCUGCAAGGAAGGGCCGGUUAUGGCAACUGCAAUCAGCUCUAAGGGUCUACCAUCAAAUGGUUACCCAUUUGGUGAUGAUAAUCAAGUUCUACAGCGAAUCACUUGGACACCAAUAAAAAGUCAAAGGACCAAAAUGGAUGCAUUGAGUAUCUUAAAACUUGAUCAUAUUAAUACAUUUAAAAGGAAGGCAAUUUUAUUAUUAAUGGAUUUUUUAUUUGCA